rnacentral:rRNA from 1 species
CACCGCGGUUAUACGAGAGACCCGAGUUGACAGACGCCGGCGUAAAGCGUGGUUAAGGAAAAUUAAAACUAAAGCCGAACACCUUCAAGGCAGUUAUACGCAUCUGUAAGAUAUGAAGCCCAACCACGAAAGUGGCUUUACACCCCCUGACCCCACGAAAGCUAUGACA